CAGUCGCCACGGUAACACGGAGGGUGCAAGCGUUAAUCGGAAUUACUGGGCGUAAAGCGCACGCAGGCGGUCUGACAAGUCAGAUGUGAAAUCCCCGGGCUUAACCUGGGAACUGCAUUUGAAACUGUCAGGCUGGAGUCUUGUAGAGGGGGGUGGAAUUCCAGGUGUAGCGGUGAAAUGCGUAGAGAUCUGGAGGAAUACCGGUGGCGAAGGCGGCCCCCUGGACAAAGACUGACGCUCAGGUGCGAAAGCGUGGGGAGCAAACAGGAUUAGAGACCCCGGUAGUCCCUGUCUCUUAUAC
rnacentral:rRNA from 1 species